rnacentral:rRNA from 1 species
UACAGAGGGUGCGAGCGUUGUCCGGAAUCACUGGGCGUAAAGGGCGCGUAGGCGGCUUGAUAAGCGUGCGGUGAAAAGCCCGGGGCUCAACCCCGGGUCGGCCGUGCGAACUGUCGAGCUGGAGCACUGUAGAGGCAGGUGGAAUUCCGGGUGUAGCGGUGGAAUGCGUAGAGAUCCGGAAGAACACCGGUGGCGAAGGCGGCCUGCUGGGCAGUGGCUGACGCUGAGGCGCGACAGCGUGGGAGCAACAGG